GCCCUAGUAGCUUAGUCUUAAAGCACCGGUCUUGUAAACCGGAGAUCGGAUGUUAAACCCCUCCCUAGCGCC
rnacentral:tRNA from 1 species